rnacentral:rRNA from 1 species
AGUCACUGACAUUAGAUACCCGUGUAGUCCCAGCCGUAAACUAUGCGCGUUAGGUGUACUGGUGACCACGAGUCACCGGGGUGCCGAAGGGAAACCGUGAAACGUGCCGCCUGGGAAGUACGGUCGCAAGGCUGAAACUUAAAGGAAUUGGCGGGGGAGCACCGCAACGGGAGGAGCGUGCGGUUUAAUUGGAUUCAACACCGUAAAACUCACCAGGGAAGACUGUUACAUGAAGGCCGAGAUGAAGACUCUGCUAGAUUUUCAG